GAUGAACGCUGGCGGCGUGCCUAAUACAUGCAAGUCGAGCGAACAGACGAGGCGCUUGCUCCUCUGACGUUAGCGGCGGACGGGUGAGUAACACGUGGAUAACCUACCUAUAAGACUGGGAUAACUUCGGGAAACCGGAGCUAAUACCGGAUAAUAUAUUGAACCGCAUGGUUCAAUAGUGAAAGACGGUGUUGCUGUCACUUAUAGAUGGAUCCGCGCCGCAUUAGCUAGUUGGUAAGGUAACGGCUUACCAAGGCAACGAUGCGUAGCCGACCUGAGAGGGUGAUCGGCCACACUGGAACUGAGACACGGUCCAGACUCCUACGGGAGGCAGCAGUAGGGAAUCUUCCGCAAUGGGCGAAAGCCUGACGGAGCAACGCCGCGUGAGUGAUGAAGGUCUUCGGAGCGUAAAACUCUGUUAUUAGUGAAGAACAAAUGUGUAAGUAACUAUGCACGUCUUGACGGUACCUAAUCAGAAAGCCACGGCUAACUACGUG
rnacentral:rRNA from 1 species